GAUGAACGCUGGCGGCGUGCUUAACACAUGCAAGUCGAACGGAAAGGCCCAAGCUUGCUUGGGUACUCGAGUGGCGAACGGGUGAGUAACACGUGGGUGAUCUGCCCUGCACUUCGGGAUAAGCCUGGGAAACUGGGUCUAAUACCGGAUAGGACCACAUUUUGGAUGGUGUGGUGGAAAGUUUUUCGGUGUGGGAUGAGCUCGCGGCCUAUCAGCUUGUUGGUGGGGUAAUGGCCUACCAAGGCGUCGACGGGUAGCCGGCCUGGGAGGGUGUACGGCCACAUUGGGACUUAGAUACGGCCCAGACUCCUACGGGAGGCAGCAGUGGGGAAUAUUGCACAAUGGGCGCAAGCCUGAUGCAGCGACGCCGCGUGGGGGAUGACGGCCUUCGGGUUGUAAACUCCUUUCGCUAGGGACGAAGCGUUAUGUGACGGUACCUGGAGAAGAAGCACCGGCUAACUACGUG
rnacentral:rRNA from 1 species